rnacentral:rRNA from 1 species
AUGUUGUCAAAUAAUAAAUUCCUUGGAAAGUGUUGGUAUGGAGGGCACCCGUGGAUACGGUUAGCCAUGGAAAGUGAAAGUAUGGUGGAAAAAGGAAUAAACUUUAUUUUCUGUUUGGGAACCGCCUAUGAUAUAUCUAGCAUGGAAAGUGUUGGGAGCUCUAAGUCAUUUUCGUUGGUGGGAAAAGUAUGCCUCUCAAAAAAAAUUAUCUCUCAAUUUUGGUUUGAGCUCUGGCACCUCUACAAAUCCCUACUUCCCUCCACGAAGGGCCUUUCUUUUACUUUAUGCAAUUUUUAUUUUAUUUUGAGUCCCCCAUCUUCUCUUAUAAAGCAUCAACUAGGGGGCACUAUGAUCGUACUUGAGCAUUGGGUGUAG